UACGGAGGAUCCAAGCGUUAUCCGGAUUUAUUGGGUUUAAAGGGUGCGUAGGCGGCUUUUUAAGUCAGGGGUGAAAGACGGUAGCUUAACUAUCGCAGUGCCCUUGAUACUGAAGAGCUUGAAUAUAGUUGAGGUAGGCGGAAUGUGACAAGUAGCGGUGAAAUGCAUAGAUAUGUCACAGAACACCAAUUGCGAAGGCAGCUUACUAAGCUAUGAGUGACGCUGAGGCACGAAAGCGUGGGGAUCAAACAGG
rnacentral:rRNA from 1 species